AGCGAACGCUGGCGGCAGGCCUAACACAUGCAAGUCGAACGAAGUCUUCGGACUUAGUGGCGGACGGGUGAGUAACACGUGGGAACGUACCUUUUGGUUCGGAACAACUCAGGGAAACUUGAGCUAAUACCGGAUGAGCCCUUAGGGGGAAAGAUUUAUCGCCGAAAGAGCGGCCCGCGUUAGAUUAGCUAGUUGGUGAGGUAAAGGCUCACCAAUGCUACGAUCUAUAGCUGGUCUGAGAGGAUGAUCAGCCACACUGGGACUGAGACACGGCCCAGACUACUACGGGAGGCAGCAGUGGGGAAUCUUGCGCAAUGGGCGAAAGCCUGACGCAGCCAUGCCGCGUGAGUGAUGAAGGCCCUAGGGUUGUAAAGCUCUUUCGGCGGGGACGAUAAUGACGGUACCCGCAGAAGAAGCCCCGGCUAACUUCGUGCCAGCAGCCGCCGUAAAAC
rnacentral:rRNA from 1 species